UACGUAGGGUGCGAGCGUUAAUCGGAAUUACUGGGCGUAAAGCGUGCGCAGGCGGUUUUGUAAGCCAGGUGUGAAAUCCCCGGGCUCAACCUGGGAAUGGCAAUGGAUACUGGCGAGCUAGAGUGUGAUAGAGGAUGGUGGAAUUCCCGGUGUAGCGGUGAAAUGCGUAGAGAUCGGGAGGAACAUCAGUGGCGAAGGCGGCCAUCUGGAUCAACACUGACGCUGAAGCACGAAAGCGUGGGGAGCAAACAGG
rnacentral:rRNA from 1 species